rnacentral:rRNA from 1 species
UACAGAGGUCCCAAGCGUUGUUCGGAAUCACUGGGCGUAAAGGGCGCGUAGGCGGCUUGAUAAGUCGGGGUGAAAGCCUGUGGCUCAACCACAGAAUUGCCUUCGAUACUGUCGAGCUUGAGACCGGAAGAGGUAAGUGGAACUGCGAGUGUAGAGGUGAAAUUCGUAGAUAUUCGCAAGAACACCAGUGGCGAAGGCGGCUUACUGGUCCGGUUCUGACGCUGAGGCGCGAAAGCGUGGGGAGCAAACAGG